rnacentral:ncRNA from 1 species
CGUCGCGAGGCGGAAUCUGAAGGAAGCCGGAUGUCGGAGGAAGGAAAUAAACCCGGCGGGCAAAGUCCCGGCCUGACGAACAGGAACCGCAUACAAGGCAUGCAUGAAUGGAUGAGUCUGCCACACAAGAUGAAAUCCAAUACUGCCCGGGUUCAUGGAUGUAAAUGCGGCAGGUGGAUGGGAUGAAGGUUGUU